rnacentral:rRNA from 1 species
AAAUGAAUUGACGGGGGCCCGCACAAGCAGCGGAGCAUGUGGUUUAAUUCGAAGCAACGCGAAGAACCUUACCAGGGCUUGACAUCGCCUGAAGCUGGUAGAAAUACCGGUGUCCCCUUUUUGGGGCAGGCAGACAGGUGGUGCAUGGUUGUCGUCAGCUCGUGUCGUGAGAUGUUGGGUUAAGUCCCGCAACGAGCGCAACCCCUGUCUUUAGUUGCUAACAGGCAAGCUGAGCACUCUAAAGAGACUGCCGGAGACAAUUCGGAGGAAGGUGGGGACGACGUCAAAUCAUCAUGCCCCUUAUGCCCUGGGCUACACACGUGCUACAAUGGCCUCUAACAGCGGGAAGCGAAGGGGUAACCCGGAGCCAAUCCCUUAAACGGGGUCCCAGUUCGGAUUGUGGGCUGCAACUCGCCCACAUGAAGCCGGAGUUGCUAGUAAUCGCGAAUCAGCAUGUCGCGGUGAAUGCGUUCCCGGGCCUUGUACACACCGCCCGU